rnacentral:tRNA from 1 species
GCGAAAGUGGCGAAACUGGUAGACGCGCUGGAUUUAGGUUCCAGUGGGGUAACCCAUAAGAGUUCGAGUCUCUUCUUUCGCA